UGUUCGAAAGUUUGCUCUCUUUGAGUCUAAUUUAGUUGAUAGAAACUUUUGGAAAAUAUUCAAAGAAAGCAUGAAGAUUUUUUUAAGUAAACUCACGUGUUGGACUGAGUUACAAAAAGUGGAAAUAUUUUGUUUCUUCGAACGUCAGAUUAUAAUUUUUUUGGUUUAAGAAAAAACGGUUUUCUCAACCUGAGAAGGAAAAAUAUGAUUUAACAAAUAGGUAUGUUGUUAACCGGGUAACAGUUAGUUAUCUGCACAGCAACCCGCCUGCUGUUACGCAUCAAAUUUCGCUGUCGUCCAUCUAAAAAUACUUCACAGACGAUUUUAUAAUUUCACAAUCAACCAAUCUGUUAGAUCGCGCCAGUUUGUGUAACACGAAAGCAAUAAAAGCACACUCCAACCUAACAUCGCACAUUGAAAUUAUUUCAAAAGAAAACGAUAUCAACAGUUAUGUUAUUAUGCUAUUAAGUUAUUAUCUAUUACCGACGUGCAAAUAAACCAAGAAGGUGAGGGGUACCUUGGACACCUUUCUUGUGAGUACCAACAAUUCAAAGGGUGAAACAUAACUAGAAAUCAUGGUAAAAACAGCUUUCACUGGUGCCUAUUGAAGUGAAAAAUUUCGACAUGUUCAGUUUGUGCGCAAGUCUCUGAAAGUUUGUGAAAAAAAAUUAGAGGAGAUGCUAAUUUUGGAAAAUUUGAAGAUUUUCGAUAAAAAGCUUGUUUUGAAUGAUGAUUUUUAAGCCGGGUUCAUGGUUAUUCGUUUGUUUUGGGUGAUCAGCACCCAGUGGAGUUUGAAAGUCUCUCUAAAGGAUGUCGUAACGUAACGGAGAACUUAAAGAAAAUGAUUUCUUGGUCAAUUACAUGGUUGAAAUGGUAUGCCACAAUAUAUUCCGUUGCUUGGAGAAGAUGAUCAUAUAAAAAAAAAUUGAAAAAUAUUCCGGUAUAAACUUACCAAACAUUUUUGCACGGAGACUGUUGGAACAACAAGAAGAUGUUUAAAUAUGAGAAUUCAGCGAAUACUAAAAGCCCCAUAGAUCUGCGAUUGAUAGAUUUCCAAGAUUGCGAGCUAGUACCCGUAUGUGUGAUUUAUCGUACUGUUUAUAUUUUGGAACAUCCAAGAAAGUUUUGGACAAUCUGAAAAACUUUUUUAAAGUUUACUGCGCCCAUCUGCAUCUCUGACAAACCACUGGAAAAAAUACUCAAGAUUUGACAUGAUGAUGCCUUUAUCAAUUAUUAUAAAAUGAAGUUGACUCAUACUGAAGAUAUUGUUGAUUGAAUUGAUUUACUUGAAAUGGAUCAGUUCGCUGAUGCUUCAGCGAAACAAAAAUUUGAUGAAGAAGGUUGCAGAAAAAGCAUAUGAGAAAUUUUGUGGCUCAUGUGUGGCACUUGACAAAACUUCAGUAACAAUGUGUCGAAAUUGAAUGUUAAAUGAUUCAAUUUUGUAAAUUAUUGUCAAGAGCUGCAAGAUUAAAUUAUAUGAGUGAAACUUUUUUGCAGUUAGUUAUCUAAUGGAACAUGUUGCAACAGAAGCUGCAAGUGAGACCUAUUUAGCAAAAUUUUGAUACGACGUUAUCCAUAUGUUAGUGAAGAUUAAUAAACAAAUUUUGGUUUGGAGGCUAACCAAAUUAAUGAAGAGUUUCGGUUAGUCUUAAAACAAACUCAAAGUUUCACGGAUGUUGAUACAUAUAUACAUUAGUUUCGGAGAUCAUCUACUAAAGUGAAGUGAAACAGCAAUUUUCCUGAUGUAAUCGUAAUAAAGAUUAGUUCGAAG